rnacentral:lncRNA from 1 species
UUUGGGAGGCCAAGGCGGGAGGAUCACUUGAGCUAAUUUUUCUAUUUUUAGUAGAGAUGGGGUUUUGCCAUGUUGGCCAGGCUGGUCUCAAACUGCUGACUUCAGGUGAUCCACCCGCCUCAGCCUCCCAAAGUGUUGGGAUUACAGGUGUGAGCCACUGCGCCUGGCCUAAACAAACUUUUUGAAAAGCUGUUUCUAAAAGAUUCCUUAAAUUCAGAUAUGACAGCUAAUUACCUCAUCAUAAAUUACUUUUAUACUAAUUGUUUCCAGGGUUUUAGAGUAGUUGAAUGUUUAUUUCACAAGGCACCCUAAAUUCUAUAGAAAUAAAACCUCAGAUGAGUCUCCUUCUUAGAGUGUUACAAUGAAUGGGAGUUUACAACUUUUAUGUGUCAUGUUUCCAACAGCUGUGUUUGGGGUGGUCACUGGCAGGAGGGGACCGUAUCUCAGAAUGGCACAUUAUUUCUAUUUUACACAUGAGCAAAUUGAGGCAUAGAGAGUUAGAUAACUUGCCCAGGUUACACAGAUUGUAAGUUGAUGAAGCUGGGAUUUGAAUCUUCACAUGUGUGUACUUAUAAAUACAAAUGUAAGGAAA